rnacentral:misc_RNA from 1 species
AAGUCGUAACAAGGUUUCCGUAGGUGAACCUGCGGAAGGAUCAUUUCUGGUUAUUUUGGAACAAACUUGUGAGUUUUUUAGACUCACGGGUAGUUAACACACACACAAAACACCUGUUUUUAGAACACGGCAUUCUGUCUGAUUCUCUAUUAAAUGGUAUAAAACUUUCAACAACGGAUCUCUAGGCUCUU